rfam:Pseudomonas hussainii strain JCM 19513 genome assembly, contig: Ga0104663_106
CUGCUGCGGGGGGCAUACCCGCCUCUCGUAGCAGUUUGUUAUCGAGCCGUAGCCCACAAAGCCACGGCUUUAGUUGAAAAAAGAAAGUAAUAGCAGGGACUACCGGAAGUGACCGGACUAUCUGCGUAACCGUGGUGGCUUUACCCAAGUCGCUGCACUUGACCAAAGCUUCCGAUGCGGUCCACGCCAGGUGGUGUCCCCCGAUCGAGGGUGACCA